rnacentral:rRNA from 1 species
UACGUAGGGUGCAAGCGUUAAUCGGAAUUACUGGGCGUAAAGCGUGCGCAGGCGGUGAUGUAAGACAGGUGUGAAAUCCCAGGGCUUAACCUUGGAACUGCAUUUGUGACUGCAUAGCUAGAGUACGGUAGAGGGGGAUGGAAUUCCGCGUGUAGCAGUGAAAUGCGUAGAUAUGCGGAGGAACACCGAUGGCGAAGGCAGCCCCCUGGGUUAACACUGACACUCAUGCACGAAAGCGUGGGGAGCAAACAGG